GGUCGAUCUUCUUCUAUUUGCUCUACAUGUUUUGGCACACAACUCCCAAGCAACAAAAUCGCCAUUGUUCCAUCUCGAUUAUGAAUGUAUGAUUACUUCGAAGUAAUUAACGUCAUUUUCAUUGACAUGAAAAAGUGGAAUCUAAUGUUAUUCUUCUUAGGGUGUAUUGUUUUUGCUCUUCCUGUAGAUUUUUCAUGUACUCUACCAUUCACAGGAACUUGGGUGACUAGUAACCGUGGAAGAUGGGUAGUAUCUUCCAGUUCUAUUCAAAAUUUCAAAUUGAAUGUAGACACUUCCGGGUCUACCUUAUGGACAAUGGAUUGUUAUUCAUUUGACGGUACUUAUUAUGUGCUCAAGUCAACUGGAAUUUUUAAACCUUUUACAACUGUGGAUACCUAUAUUUACAUUUGUUUGAGAUUCACAAUGCAGAGCAACUAUAAAUACUUAUUCAACAUUC